rnacentral:lncRNA from 1 species
AUGAGCCCCUGGUCCCCUCCGCUGCUCUGGAGCUUGGCCACGGCGUGGCUGACAGGUAUUGCUUUAGGCCAGACAACCACCACUCAGACCCGUGUUGCAUCAACCCCGCUACUCCUGAGUGCUGCUACCCCCCAAGUCCCUGCUGCACCAUCCCCAACGUCUUCUAUUGCCCCUGCGACCUCAGCCCCCACAUCCCCACCUGCUGCUGGGACACUCUCAGCUGGAACAGUGACCAACGUCACCACCCCUACAGCUGCACCACCUGCUGUCUCAGGCACAAACCCUCCCUCUCCAGCUCUGCCCAGCACCCCACACAUCACCGCUCUCACCUCUGGGACUGCAACCACCCCCCACGUACCCACAGCUCCGAUGGCCACAUCCAGGGCCGCCCCUCCACAUGGAACUGCAUCUCCCGGGGUCCCAUCAGUGGCCCCAUCCCUCAGCACCACUGAGCCCUCAAACUGCAGCGGAGUGAACGUGACAGCGUGUGCUCCUUGCUCCCCAGGGACCAUUCCCAGCAAUGACACCUGGAGCUGCUCGUGCUGCACGGAGGGCUCAUGUGUGGACCCCAGCACCUGUGCUCCUUGCCCAGUGGGGCACUACCAGCCUGCGAUGGGGCAGCAGCAGUGCCUGCCGUGUCCAAAGGGGAGUUACACCAACACUACGAGGAGCAUCAUGUGCUCACCCUGCCUGCCCGGCCACUAUGCCAACGAGUUGGGAGCCACAGCCUGCAGCGUGUGCCAGAAAGGUAGGGCUGUUUGUAUGCAACCCCAUCCCGCUGCACAGGCUUUUACCCACGGCCAGAUGCAAUUAACUGGGUUACUUGAAAGCACCGAUGAGUAA